AAAUUUAGUAAUUUAGGUAUUGACAAAAGUAUUUGAAAAAUCAAAAGGAUAAAAACCAAAUAUAAACAUUAUACUGAGGGAAUGAAUACUCAGUGUGAGAAGAAUUACAUUACAAGCUACCACUUUGUUCUCAUUUCGAAAGCCCAUUGUACACCCUCUUCCAUAACUCAAAACUCAAAAAGUAUCCCUAGGCUAUAUAUCUUGGAUCACUCUUUCUCGACCCACAUGAGCCAUUGAUCUUAUUUCUAACCAAGGAAGCUCAAUCAUCAAGAAAACCAAGCUUAUCACAGAUAUCCUAGCAUAACAUAGUUCACAUUUGUUAAUCACUUUCCAUAUCCAAACAUAGUUCCAAUCACAAUUGUUAACCCCAUCAAGAUUUCCACAUGAACCAGCAAAAUCAACACAAAGGACCAUCUCUUCCUCAACCCAAGUUUGAAGAGGUGCAAGAUGAAAAUUUCAGAUGGAAAUUUUCUCUUACAGGGGUGUAAUAUGACAAGUUGUACCAUUUCAACUUCAAAUCAAUUCAGUCAUUCAAAAUUCAAUACCAAUUAGAUGAGUCUACAUUCAUAGAAAUCUUCAUCCUCAAAUUUUCCCUAUCGUUGGGAUAAGAACCUAGCUCAAGAACUGAACAAAAUUAGGAAAGAACCUUCUCUAUAUGAAUGAUUCAUAAAACCAGUAACAAUCUAAGCGGUUCCACAACAAAUGGCAAGUGGACAUCAAACUACCUUAACAAAUAUAUCUUGAUGCGCCAAUCCUUUAUUUCGAAGUCGCAUUCAGGAGGGGCAAAAUAUACAUUGGAACAUUAUUUCUAAAGAGAAAGGCCCUAAGUGAACAUGUCCUACUAGAAUUUGGCAUGUCUAUGCUUUAGAGGAAAAGACCACUACCCUGAUGGUAUGGUAAUGCUGGGAAGAGAAUGAUCCAAAUUACUUUAUUUAACUUAACAUUUAUAAUUUCAUGCAUAUAACAUCCAUAAUUACAGACUUAUUACCUCUAAUAUUACUCAAUUAUUUCAAUGGUAAUUAAGAAAUGCAAGAUAAAGUAAGCAGUAGUUAAGAAAUGCAAAAUAAGGUAACUUUCGGUUGUUUUGAACUGAUUUUCUAUUGUCUCCCAAAUACUUUUGGUACAUCAGAUGGCUAAUUCAUUAGGCUUACAAAACCAGGCAACCAUAUUUUUGGAUGCAAAGUUGCACACACCUAACACGGCCACACAGUCAGAAACACAUGGCAACAAGUACACAAUAGAAACUGGACCAACAAUACAUAUAUAAUACCGUUAUUCCAAUGUUAGAACAGAAAAGAAAAUGACAUGGUUGAUUGAUUGAUUCCCUUGAUCAUCGUGCACAGCUGAGCUGCCAUAAUUGUUAACUAACCACUAACUAAUUCUGUUUUGGCUACUAACUUAUGGAUCCUUUUCAGUUCAGUUUUGAUUAAAUAACAGCUUGCUCCCUACCAGGAGUUAUGCUGUGCUUGCUUUGCUACUCAAAUCCAAGCUUAUCACCUCAAAUGCCAGGUCAAAAUUUUUCAUUUCAUGAACUAUCAUCACAAUCAUAAAACAUGUAAAAAAAAAUAUAAAUAUUAAAAAAAAAAAAAA